rnacentral:rRNA from 1 species
ACUCAAAGGAAUUGACGGGGACCCGCACAAGCAGCGGAGCAUGUGGUUUAAUUCGACGCAACGCGAAGAACCUUACCUGGGCUUGACAUGUUCCUGACCGCCUUGGAAACAAGGCUUCCCUUCGGGGCAGGAUCACAGGUGGUGCAUGGCUGUCGUCAGCUCGUGUCGUGAGAUGUUGGGUUAAGUCCCGCAACGAGCGCAACCCCCGUCGCAUGUUGCCAGCAUUUAGUUGGGGACUCAUGCGAGACUGCCGGUGACAAACCGGAGGAAGGUGGGGAUGACGUCAAGUCAUCAUGCCCCUUAUGUCCAGGGCUACACACGUGCUACAUUGGCUGGUACAGAGGGUUGCGAUACCGCGAGGUGGAGCGAAUCCCUCAAAGCCAGUCUCGGUUCGGAUUGCAGGCUGAAACUCGCCUGCAUGAAGGCGGAGUUGCUAGUAAUCGCGGAUCAGCAAUGCCGCGGUGAAUACGUUCCCGGGUCUUGCACACACCGCCCGU